AUACGUAGGGAGCGAGCGUUGUCCGGAAUUACUGGGUGUAAAGGGAGCGCAGGCGGGAGUGUAAGUCAGAUGUGAAAUACAUGGGCUCAACCCAGGGGCUGCAUUUGAAACUGCAUUUCUUGAGUGAAGUAGAGGUAAGCGGAAUUCCUGGUGUAGCGGUGAAAUGCGUAGAUAUAAGGAGGAACACCGGUGGCGAAGGCGGCUUACUGGGCUUUUACUGACGCGGAGGCUCGAAAGCGUGGGGAGCAAACAGGAUUAGAUCCCCUGGUAGUCCACGCUGUAAACGAUGAUUACUAGGUGUGGGGGGACUGACCCCUUCCGUGCCGCAGUUAACACAAUAAGUAAUCCACCUGGGGAGUACGGCCGCAAGGUUGAAACUCAAAUGAAUUGGCGGGG
rnacentral:rRNA from 1 species